GGACUCGCCCACCUCCCGCCGACGCACGCACGUUCGCACGCAGGGUCGCACGCACGUCCUCGGUUGCCCUCCGACGCCACCGCCAGCCGGAAGCGGGGACCCGGGGAAACCCUGCUGAGGCAAGCGAGAGAGACCAGGAGCUCAUUGUGUAGCCUCGAAAGUUGAUAUGUGGGGCUGGAGAGAUGGCUCAGCGGUUAAGAGCACUGUCUGCUCUUCCAGAGGUCCUGAGUUCAAUUCCUAGCACCCACAUGGUGGCUCACAACCUGUAAUGGGAUCCGAUGCCCUCUUCUGGUGUGUCUGAAGGCAGCAACAGUGUACUCAUAUAAAUAAAAAUUAAUUAAAAAAUUUAAAAAAGAAA